rnacentral:misc_RNA from 1 species
GGAUGAAGAACGUAGCGAAAUGCGAUACGUAAUGUGAAUUGCAGAAUUCAGUGAAUCAUCGAAUCUUUGAACGCAUAUUGCGCUCUCUGGUAUUCCGGAGAGCAUGCUUGUUUGAGUAUCAGUAAACACCUCAACUUCCAUAUCUUUUUUGAAAUGGGAGUUGGACUUGAGUGAUCCCAACGCUUUUCCUCACCGAAAAGUGGCGGGUUACUUGAAAUGCAGGUGCAGCUGGACUUUUCUCUGAGCUAUAAGCAUAUCUAUUUAGUCUGCCUAAAAAACAGAUUAUUACCUUUGCUGCAGCUAACAUAAAGGAGAUUAGUUCUUGUGCUGACUGAUGCAGGAUUCACAAAGACAGCUUCGGCCGACUUUGUAAACUCGAUCUCAAAUCAAGUAAGACUACCCGCUGAACUUAAGCAUAUCAAUAAGCGGAGGA